UACGGAGGGGGCUAGCGUUGUUCGGAAUUACUGGGCGUAAAGCGCACGUAGGCGGAUCAGUCAGUCAGGGGUGAAAUCCCGGGGCUCAACCCCGGAACUGCCUUUGAAACUGCUGGUCUGGAGGUCGAGAGAGGCGAGUGGAAUUCCGAGUGUAGAGGUGAAAUUCGUAGAUAUUCGGAGGAACACCGGUGGCGAAGGCGGCCCUCUGGACGGUGACUGACGCUGAGACGCGAAAGCGUGGGGAGCAAACAGG
rnacentral:rRNA from 1 species